rnacentral:rRNA from 1 species
GACGAACGCUGGCGGCGUGCUUAACACAUGCAAGUCGAGCGAUGAAGCUUCUUCGGAAGUGGAUUAGCGGCGGACGGGUGAGUAACACGUGGGUAACCUGCCUCAUAGAGGGGAAUAGCCUUCCGAAAGGAAGAUUAAUACCGCAUAAGAUUGUAAUAUCGCAUGAUAUAGCAAUUAAAGGAGCAAUCCGCUAUGAGAUGGACCCGCGUCGCAUUAGCUAGUUGGUGAGGUAACGGCUCACCAAGGCGACGAUGCGUAGCCGACCUGAGAGGGUGGUCGGCCACAUUGGGACUGAGACACGGCACAGACUCCUACGGGAGGAAGCAGUGGGGAAUAUUGCACAAUGGGGGAAACCCUGAUGCAGCAACGCCGCGUGAGUGAUGACGGUCUUCGGAUUGUAAAGCUCUGUCUUUAGGGACGAUAAUGACGGUACCUAAGGAGGAAGCCACGGCUAACUACGUGCCAGCCGCCGCAGUAAAAC